rnacentral:rRNA from 1 species
UACGGGGAGCAAGCGUUGUUCGGAUUACUGGCGUAAAGGGCGCGUAGGCGGUCACUACAAGUCAGUUGUGAAAUCUCUGGCUUAACUCAGAACGGUCAACUGAUACUGUCGGACUAGAGUGCAGAAGGGCAACUGGAAUUCUCGGUGUAGCGUGAAUGCGUAGAUAUCAAGAGGAACACCUGAGGUGAGACGGUGCUGCUGAUACUGACGCUGAGCGCGAAGCUAGGUAGCAAACGG